AGCAGCCGCGGUAAUUCCAGCUCCAAUAGCGUAUAUUAAAGUUGUUGCAGUUAAAAAGCUCGUAGUUGAAUUUCGGGAUUGACACAUCGGUCGUGCCUUAAGGGGUGUGAACUGGUGUAGUCAAUUUCUCACCUUCUGGAGAACCGCGAUGUCCUUAAUUGGGUGCCGCGAGGAACCAGGACCUUUACUUUGAAAAAAAUUAGAGUGUUUAAAGCAGGCAUUUUUGCUUGAGUACAUUAGCAUGGAAUAAUAAAAUAGGACGGCAUGAUUCUAUUUUGUUGGUUUCUAGGAUCACCGUAAUGAUUAAUAGGGAUAGUUGGGGGCAUUAGUAUUCAAUUGUCAGAGGUGAAAUUCUUGGAUUUAUUGAAGACUAACUACUGCGAAAGCAUUUGCCAAGGAUGUUUCAUUAAUCAAGAACGAAGUUAGGGGAUCGAAAGCGAUCGAGUACUACCGUCGUAGUCCUUAACCAUAAACUAUGACCGACUAGGAUCAGACGUAUUGUUAAUUUUUANGUACUCGU
rnacentral:rRNA from 1 species